GAUCCAAAACCCGAACAGAAAACCCAAGUAACAGUAUCCAAAUGACACUCUAGUUUUCAAAUAUGAUCCACCAUCUCCAAACACAUUUCCUCACAGUGUUUACUUGCUACCAAACUUCCGGAGCUUCACCAAAUGUAACUUGAGAAAGGCCACGAUGGUGGGAAAUGUGACACAAGGCGGCGGGGAGGGCUUCGAUUUUGAGCUGAAAAGGCCACGGCAGCGUUACUACUUUGCCUGCGGUGAGCGCAAUGGCUUUCAUUGCGUGAAUGGAACCAUGAAGUUCUUUGUGAAGCCAAUAUUCCGCUAGUAUAGAUAAUUACUAUACAAUGUGCAUGUCAUGGGAAACACUACUUGCUGUUAUCUCCUUUUAUGUCUUUUGUUGUGUUGUAGUAGAUAAUGUGUCCUUCUUCACUUCUUCCUUUUAUGUUAUUAAAUUAAAGACUAUUUGUAAAUUUGAAUAAAUAUUAAGGGAUUGAUUGCUUAUUUUAUAA